UUCAGUGAUGAGCUGGAGAGAUGCACAACCAAUUUCCUGAAGUUGACGAAACGUCACCUCUCUAAUUUCAAGGACGUUCUUAGUCCAUCAAUUGAUCGGAUCCGCACAUAUGUGGAUAAUUUGGCAGUCUUAAAUUCAAGGGAGGAGUCAAUAGAACAUGGAGCGGAUGAUGGAAUUUCUGAAAAGACAAGUCCACAGAAAUCCCUAGAGGAGGAAUAUUUGCAAACCGAAAAGAAGGUUCUCUUUUAGUACCCACCAUCGAUAUUGUUCUCUUUAAUUUGUUGCUUCUAAGGUCAUAACCUACUCAAACAAACAUCCUAGCUGUCUUUAUAUUUGAGCAAAGUCAAGGUAUUACAGUGUAAGUGUGAACAGAUAUGUGUUUUAGCCUGUUGAACAAUUUACAGAGAAUGGAUAGC